CUUCAUUUCAGGAACUCAGGAAGCUUCUGGAAGUGGGAGGAUUUGCCCCAUUGUUGGUGAACAGAAGGGACUGGAUCAAGUCCCCACAGAGAGGAAGCAGCAGAGUGAAGAUUCAGCCCAUCUGUCCGACCCACGCUGGUCCCUGACUCAGAUUUGAGGCCGCCCUCCUUGAAGCUCCAAGAUGCACGGACCCCAGGACCCUUUCCAAUUCCCUCCCUGUCACUAGGAGGGUGGCCGCCACAAAGGAAGGAUGAACGAGAAGUGGGAACAGAUGAGGACGAGCCAGGGAAGUUACAAGGACAGACCUGCCGAAGUGACCUUCAGGAGAAGGCGGUGUCACUCAUCACAGAACAGGCACUUGCCCAGGAUUCAGAGAAGCUGAAAGCAGAUGCACAGGAGCUGGAGGCUGCAGGCUCGCUGUUGCCCCACACCUGCCAGGGCACCGUCUCGAAGUCGUUUCUGAUUAGAAGUUGACCUCAGAAAUAUGCUCGCAUCAUUUUGAAAACAUCUCCCAGCACCACAGAAACCGACGCAGAAUGGGAAAGGACACUGAGGGGACCAAGGCCAGGACCCGGGCCUUCCCACAAGGCUCUCAGGGUAUCGCUGGCCUGGAUCAAAGUUGGGAUGCGAUCACCGUCAUGACGCCGGAUACAUUCAUGGACCUGGGGCCAGCUGGGAGUGACAGGGAUGACUGUCACCAUCGUGGUUGUCAGCUAAUGUUACUGAGUCCUUACUACAGACCCUGCGGUUCUAAAGAGUCAUCCGUUCUUGCGGCAUCCUCUCAGGCAGGGACCAUUGGAGUUUGAGGUCCGAGUGGCGUUGUCAGGUACCGGUCUGGAGAGGGCAGGUCAGUGUGUAAGAUCAAUGCCCUUGGGAGGGACUACCUAGUGGGUAAAGUCAGUGGUCUCAUUAGGAACACAAACUCCCAGCUAAGCCUGCUCAGCCCUGAGGCAGAAGCUGUGAACCCAGCGAGGUGGGAGAGGGUGGCCAGAGGCAGU